rnacentral:misc_RNA from 1 species
AAGUCGUAACAAGGUUUCCGUAGGUGAACCUGCGGAAGGAUCAUUAUUGAAGGAGAAUGGGUGGCAUGGGCUGUUGCUGGCUUGAAUGAGCAUGUGCACGUCUGUUGCUGCUUAUUUCAUUCAUUUUUCCUCCUGUGCAUGUUUUGUAGACACUUGGGAAAUGAGAGGUUGGUUGUAAUGUAAUGAAUUGACCUCUUGAGAUGAGUCUGGGAGUCUAUGACAUUUUUAUAAACACGGCUGUAUGUGUAUGGAAUGAGAUUGUAGGUUUUUAAUAAAAAAAGCCUUUAAAUGAUAAAGUACAACUUUCAACAACGGAUCUCUUGGCUCUC